rnacentral:ncRNA from 1 species
GGUCCUCACUAAGACGGUGUCUCGAAAAGACUAUGUCAAGGUGGGGGAAGGCUCAUCUCAGGGUGUGGCCACGCCUUCAACUUCGGGUGCCGGGCGUCAGUCCGCCAGAGCGCAGCACACAGCGGUGCCGCUCGGGGCUGAUGACCGGAGGACGA